rnacentral:rRNA from 1 species
AUGUACAAGUUGUACAAGAGCGAGCUGGACGCGAUCACGCCUGAGCAGGUGGAAUGGGAGACGUAUGGAAAAGGAGAGAGUUUUGGUAACCCUAUGGAGUUCAGGCUGAAUCCGAUGUGCACUAGGGAUAGGGAUCUCUGGCAUAUGCGGUGCCCACUGAUAUGCAACUGGGCGGUUGAGCUUCACCUGCCACAUCGGGUGUUCCGCUAGUUUGGUUUGUUCCAGCCACACCGGCCGGAGUGGGAGGACACUGACAAGUUGCUACACGCGUUGGAUAGGAAAAAGCAGCGGAAGAUCAAGGAUUGGGCCAAGCAUCACAGCAAGUAUGUCGUGCAGUUCGCUCUUAGUGUGGAGCAAGCAAGGGCUGGAAAACGGGCCCAGCUUCAUGAGCACUGCCCGAUAGCGUUCAACAACUACCUCACAUGGUUUCUUGCAAGUACCCGCAUGGAGGUAUGCAAGCCGGCGUAUGCUGAGGAGAUUCUGGAAGAACCCACCGUUUUUGAUGAGAUCAAGAAAGCAGCUGAUGAGACCGAGACUAUUCUAGAAACAACCCCGGCUGGCAAAAGCGAUGGGGAAGGUGCACUUCGAGCAUUCAUUAAGCGCCAGGGCCAAAAGUUAAGGCGGCUAUCAAACCUUUUCGGUUGUCGUGACCCCGAGUAUGUAUCACCAGAACGGUCUAGGUCGGCGACACCAUCAGAUCCCGCUUCGGGGCAGGGCCAUGGUGAACCUUUCGAGGAUGAGGAUGUGGGUGUGGUCACCCAAGAGGCUGCUGAUGAUAUGACCGUGGGGACGUACCAGGCUCGGUCUGCAUACGAGUUGAAGCCUAGGAAGGGAAUCAACAAGUACACACCUGAAGACUUCACCCAAAGAGGCCAAAGAGGCAAAAGGACGGUCGGCACCUCGCGGAUGGCGGCUUUGGAUGACUAUUUGGAUGACUAUGUAGAUGACGUGGAGGAACCGGAGCCGGAGCCGGAGCGGGUUCCUCUUCCUAGGAAGGUGAAGAAGAUAAGCGUCAAGAGGGGGGAGGAGCCAGCAAGCGCGGAAAGCACUAGUCAUCGUCCUUUAUUUAUAAUGUUGAACUUAGAGUGGAAUUUGUUAUGUCGUUGA